rnacentral:misc_RNA from 1 species
AAAAGGCCCAAGUCCAAAUUGAAGAAGAGGUGCAAGAAUCUGUUGAAGAGGAUGCAUUUGAAGAGUAAUGAUAUAGUAUUGUUGUAGGUAGACGACACAGAAGGGAGGUAAGACCACUUUAAAGAUGCAGGUAUGCAGAUCUCUUAGAUUAUUGACAUAACUUCCCAAGUUAAAGAGUUAACACUCGGUUAAAAAAUUAACAUGGUAGUCAAAGAGUCAAAUAUUUAGUCAAAAGGUCAACACAAUUAAGAAGUCAUGAAAGCCAAGGUCUGACCAGUUCGAGCAUCAAAUGGCAAGGCCAAGUCUGAACUGAGCAUACACGUAGGUGAAAGCAAUCUGAGUAAUGGUGGUGCCGAAUGCUCGCACUACAGGCUUAAGGAAUAACCAACCGAGCAUUGAUAGAACGAAUCAACAAUGGAGACAAAUUUGUAGGCGAGAAUUUCAGGAAAGCAACUGAGCAUACCGAGAUUCUCAGAACUCACUUUAACAUCUCUCUAGUUUUCAGUCUAUAAAUACCAGAACAAGGCAUAAAUCAGGCUGACAAGGCUUUAAGACUGGUCAAAGGAGACUCACAACAGCAUUAAUUAUUCCUUAUCGAUAACAUUUGCAAAGUCUAUCCCUAUAGUCAUUACUUAAACUUAAUUGGUGUUCACAAGAGCCAAGACUUGAUGGGGUAGGAUGGAAAUAAUCAAGUUCUCUAAUUUGUGAUGGGUAAGGUGAAGGCAAUUAAAGAAUUUUCUAAUUUGUAAUUAAGAAAUUCAAGUUGAAGUGGAGUUUUGUUAAAAUAUAUCUUGAAUUACCCACACAUUCCACUUAAUGAAUAAUCA